CAAGAUCAAAGGUGGCCUCUACAUGUAAGCUAUUGUUUGGGGAUGAGCCCGCGUACCAUUAGCUUGUUGGUAGGGUAAUGGCUUACCAAGGCUACGAUGGUUAGCUGGUCUGAGAGGAUGAUCAGCCACACUGGAACUGACACACGGUCCAGACUCCUACGGGAGGCAGCAGUGAGGAAUUUUGCGCAAUGGGGGAAACCCUGACGCAGCAACGCCGCGUGAGUGAUGAAGGCUUUCGGGUCGUAAAGCUCUGUCAAGUGGGAAGAACCCAUAUGGUGUUAAUACCGCCAUAUGCUGGCUACCACUGAAGGAAGCACCGGCUAACUCCGUGCCAGCAGCCGCGGUAAUACGGGGGGUGCGAGCGUUAUUCGGAAUUACUGGGCGUAAAGAGCGCGUAGGCGGUCUUUUAAGUCAGGUGUGAAAGCCCGGGGCUCAACCCCGGAAGUGCACUUGAAACUAAGAGACUUGAGUAUGGGAGAGGGAAGUGGAAUUCCUGGUGUAGCGGUGAAAUGCGUAGAUAUCAGGAGGAACAUCAGUGGCGAAGGCGACUUCCUGGACCAAUACUGGCGCUGAGGCGCGAAGGCGUGGGGAGCAAACAGGAUUAGAUACCCUGGUAGUCCACGCAGUAAACGGUGAACACUAGGUGUAGCGGGUAUUGACCCCUGCUGUGCCGCAGCAAACGCAUUAAGUGUUCCGCCUGGGGAGUACGGCCGCAAGGUUAAAACUCAAAGGAAUUGACGGUGGCCCGCACAAGCGGUGGAGCAUGUGGUUUAAUUCGACGCAACGCGAAGAACCUUACCUAGGUUUGACAUCCCGGGAAUCCUGUGGAAACACGGGAGUGCCCUUCGGGGAACCCGGUGACAGGUGCUGCAUGGCUGUCGUCAGCUCGUGUCGUGAGAUGUUGGGUUAAGUCUCGCAACGAGCGCAACCCCUUUCUUUAGUUACCAUCAUUUAGUUGGGGACUCUAAAGAUACUGCCCCGGUUAACGGGGAGGAAGGUGGGGAUGACGUCAAGUCCUCAUGGCCUUUAUGCCUAGGGCUACACGCGUGCUACAAUGGACUGUACAAAGGGUUGCCAGCCUGCGAGGGUGAGCCAAUCCCACAAAGCAGUUCAUAGUUCGGAUUGGAGUCUGCAACUCGACUCCAUGAAGCUGGAAUCGCUAGUAAUCGUGGAUCAGCAUGCCACGGUGAAUACGUUCCCGGGCCUUGUAC
rnacentral:rRNA from 1 species